GACGAACGCUGGCGGCGUGCUUAACACAUGCAAGUCGAACGGAAAGGCCCUGCUUUUGUGGGGUGCUCGAGUGGCGAACGGGUGAGUAACACGUGAGUAACCUGCCCUUGACUUUGGGAUAACUUCAGGAAACUGGGGCUAAUACCGGAUAGGAGCUCCUGCUGCAUGGCGGGGGUUGGAAAGUUUCGGCGGUUGGGGAUGGACUCGCGGCUUAUCAGCUUGUUGGUGGGGUAGUGGCUUACCAAGGCUUUGACGGGUAGCCGGCCUGAGAGGGUGACCGGCCACAUUGGGACUGAGAUACGGCCCAGACUCCUACGGGAGGCAGCAGUGGGGAAUAUUGCACAAUGGGCGGAAGCCUGAUGCAGCAACGCCGCGUGCGGGAUGACGGCCUUCGGGUUGUAAACCGCUUUCGCCUGUGACGAAGCGUGAGUGACGGUAAUGGGUAAAGAAGCACCGGCUAACUACGUGCCAGCAGCCGCGGUGAUACGUAGGGUGCGAGCGUUGUCCGGAUUUAUUGGGCGUAAAGGGCUCGUAGGUGGUUGAUCGCGUCGGAAGUGUAAUCUUGGGGCUUAACCCUGAGCGUGCUUUCGAUACGGGUUGACUUGAGGAAGGUAGGGGAGAAUGGAAUUCCUGGUGGAGCGGUGGAAUGCGCAGAUAUCAGGAGGAACACCAGUGGCGAAGGCGGUCCUCUGGGCCUUUCCUGACGCUGAGGAGCGAAAGCGUGGGGAGCGAACAGGCUUAGAUACCCUGGUAGUCCACGCUGUAAACGGUGGGUACUAGGUGUGGGGUCCAUUCCACGGGUUCCGUGCCGUAGCUAACGCUUUAAGUACCCCGCCUGGGGAGUACGGCCGCAAGGCUAAAACUCAAAGGAAUUGACGGGGCCCCGCACAAGCGGCGGAGCAUGCGGAUUAAUUCGAUGCAACGCGUAGAACCUUACCUGGGUUUGACAUGGAUCGGGAGCGCUCAGAGAUGGGUGUGCCUCUUUUGGGGUCGGUUCACAGGUGGUGCAUGCCUGUCGUCAGCUCGUGUCGUGAGAUGUUGGGUUAAGUCCCGCAACGAGCGCAACCCUUGUUCACUGUUGCCAGCACGUUAUGGUGGGGACUCAGUGGAGACCGCCGGGGUCAACUCGGAGGAAGGUGGGGAUGACGUCAAGUCCUCAUGCCCCUUAUGUCCAGGGCUUCACGCAUGCUACAAUGGCUGGUACAGAGAGUGGCGAGCCUGUGAGGGUGAGCGAAUCUCGGAAAGCCGGUCUCAGUUCGGAUUGGGGUCUGCAACUCGACCUCAUGAAGUCGGAGUCGCUAGUAAUCGCAGAUCAGCAACGCUGCGGUGAAUACGUUCCCGGGGCU
rnacentral:rRNA from 1 species